GUGCUCGCUUCUGUAGCAUAUAUACUAAAAUUGGAACAAUACAGAGAAAAUAGCACGGCCCCUGCGCAAGGACGACAUGCAAAUUCGUGAAGGGUUCCAUAUUUUU